UGGGGAAUAUUGCGCAAUGGGGGGAACCCUGACGCAGCCAUGCCGCGUGAAUGAAGAAGGCCUUCGGGUUGUAAAGUUCUUUCGGUAUUGAGGAAGGUUGAUGUGUUAAUAGCACAUCAAAUUGACGUUAAAUACAGAAGAAGCACCGGCUAACUCCGUGCCAGCAGCCGCGGUAAUACGGAGGGUGCGAGCGUUAAUCGGAAUAACUGGGCGUAAAGGGCACGCAGGCGGUUAUUUAAGUGAGGUGUGAAAGCCCCGGGCUUAACCUGGGAAUUGCAUUUCAGACUGGGUAACUAGAGUACUUUAGGGAGGGGUAGAAUUCCACGUGUAGCGGUGAAAUGCGUAGAGAUGUGGAGGAAUACCGAAGGCGAAGCNAGCCCCUUGGGAAUGUACUGACGCUCAUGUGCGAAAGCGUGGGGGAGCAAACAGGAUUAGAUACCCUGGUAGUCCACGCUGUAAACGCUGUCGAUUUGGGGGUUGGGGUUUAACUCUGGCGCCCGUAGCUAACGUGAUAAAUCGACCGCCUGGGGAGUACGGCCGCAAGNUU
rnacentral:rRNA from 1 species